rnacentral:rRNA from 1 species
CCUACGGGAGGCAGCAGUGAGGAAUAUUGGUCAAUGGGCGCGAGUCUGAACCAGCCAUGUAGCGUGCAGGAUGACGGCCCUAUGGGUUGUAAACUUCUUUUAUAAGGGAAUAAAGUGAGGUACGUGUACCUUUCUGUAUGUACUUUAUGAAUAAGGAUCGGCUAACUCCGUGCCAGCAGCCGCGGUUAUACGGAGGAUUCGAGCGUUAUCCGGAUUUAUUGGGUUUAAAGGGUGGGUAGUAGGGUGGUUAAGUUAGUUGUGAAAGGUUGCGGCUCAACUGUGGAAUUGCAAUUGAUACUGGUAGUCUUGAGUGCAGUUGAGGUAGGCGGAA